UUCCAACAGGGAUUGCCUCAGUAACGGCGAGUGAAGCGGCAACAGCUCAAAUUUGAAAUCUGGCCCCAGGCCCGAAUUGUAAUUUGCAGAGGAUGCUUCUGGCGCGGUGCCUUCCAAGUCCCCUGGAACGGGGCGCCAUAGAGGGUGAGAGCCCCGUCUGGUUGGCCGCCAAGCCUGUGUGAAGCUCCUUCGACGAGUCGAGUAGUUUGGGAAUGCUGCUCUAAAUGGGAGGUAGACCCCUUCUAAAGCUAAAUAUUGGCCAGAGACCGAUAGCGCACAAGUAGAGUGAUCGAAAGAUGAAAAGCACUUUGAAAAGAGGGUUAAACAGUACGUGAAAUUGUUGAAAGGGAAGCGCUUGUGACCAGACGUGCGUCGGGGUGUUCAGCGGGCGUUCUCGCCCGUGCACUCGCCCCGGUGCAGGCCAGCGUCGGUUCGGGUGGGGGGACAAAGGCGUCGGGAACGUAGCUCCUCCGGGAGUGUUAUAGCCCAGCGUGUCAUGCCCCCGCCUGGACCGAGGUUCGCGCUCCGCAAGGACGCUGGCGUAAUGGUCCCCAGCGGCCCGUCUUGAAACACGGACCAAGGAGUCGAGGUUUUGCGCGAGUGUUUGGGUGUCAAACCCGCACGCGUAAUGAAAGUGAACGCAGGUGGGAGCUUCGGCGCACCACCGACCGAUCCUGAUGUUCUCGGAUGGAUUUGAGUAAGAGCGUAGGGCCUCGGACCCGAAAGAUGGUGAACUAUACGUGAAUAGGGUGAAGCCAGAGGAAACUCUGGUGGAGGCUCGCAGCGGUUCUGACGUGCAAAUCGAUCGUCAAAUUUGCGUAUGGGGGCGAAAGACUAAUCGAACCAU
rnacentral:rRNA from 1 species